AGAUUGAACGCUGGCGGCAUGCCUAACACAUGCAAGUCGAACGGGAGUAGCAAUACUCUAGUGGCGGACGGGUGAGGAAUACGUAGGAAUUUGCCCUUAAGUGGGGGAUAACCCGGGGAAACCCGGAUCAAUACCGCAUGACCUCGAAAGAGCAAAGUGGGGGAUCGCAAGACCUCACGCUUUUGGAGAAGCCUACGUCGGAUUAGCUAGUUGGUGAGGUAAUGGCUCACCAAGGCGACGAUCCGUAACUGGUCUGAGAGGAUGAUCAGUCACACCGGAACUGAGACACGGUCCGGACUACCGUACGGGGA
rnacentral:rRNA from 1 species